rnacentral:ncRNA from 1 species
CAACCUCUGACGAAACGCGUGUAUGUUG